rnacentral:rRNA from 1 species
CAGUAGCCACGGUAAUACAGAGGGUGCGAGCGUUAAUCGGAUUUACUGGGCGUAAAGCGUGCGUAGGCGGCUUCUUAAGUCGGAUGUGAAAUCCCUGAGCUUAACUUAGGAAUUGCAUUCGAUACUGGGAAGCUAGAGUAUGGGAGAGGAUGGUAGAAUUCCAGGUGUAGCGGUAAAAUGCGUAGAGAUCUGGAGGAAUACCGAUGGCGAAGGCAGCCAUCUGGCCUAAUACUGACGCUGAGGUACGAAAGCAUGGGGAGCAAACAGGAUUAGAUACCCGUGUAGUCCCUGUCUCUUAUAC